rnacentral:rRNA from 1 species
AUUGAACGCUGGCGGCAUGCCUUACACAUGCAAAGUCGAACGGCAGCACGGGAGCAAUCCUGGUGGCGAGUGGCGAACGGGUGAGUAAUAUAUCGGAACGUGCCCGGUCGUGGGGGAUAACGUAGCGAAAGCUACGCUAAUACCGCAUACGAUCUAUGGAUGAAAGCGGGGGAUCGCAAGACCUCGCGCGAUUAGAGCGGCCGAUAUCAGAUUAGGUAGUUGGUGAGGUAAAGGCUCACCAAGCCGACGAUCUGUAGCUGGUCUGAGAGGACGACCAGCCACACUGGGACUGAGACACGGCCCAGACUCCUACGGGAGGCAGCAGUGGGGAAUUUUGGACAAUGGGCGCAAGCCUGAUCCAGCAAUGCCGCGUGCAGGAUGAAGGCCUUCGGGUUGUAAACUGCUUUGUACGGAACGAAACGGUGAGCUCUAAUACAGUUUGCUAAUGACGGUACCGUAAGAAUAAGCACCGGCUAACUACGUG